rnacentral:rRNA from 1 species
GUCUAUGGCCAUCCCACUCUGAACACACCCGAUCUGGUCUGCUCUCAGAAGCUAUGCAGAGUCGGGCCUGGUGAGUGCUUGGAUGGGAGGAACCCAACUCGGGACCUUAUUUCUGUAUGUC